GUGAGGCAGUUUAUUGUAUAGUCAAGUGACAGUAAAAUCUGCCUAUAUGCCAAUUAAGUGUUUGUGAAUGAUGGGGGAGGGAGAAGGGGAAGCGAUAUUUCUUUGACAAGAAAUGUUAUUUUGUGGCCUGCUUGAGUCAAGAAGAACGCAUCAUGUAAUUAAUGAAAAAAAAAAAAAUUGGUUCACUUGAAAUAAUGUUGCUGCCGGUGUACGGACAAGACGUAAAUGUGAAAGAAGUACAGACAUAGUGACACGACUUCUUUCAGCCACGCGGUAUAUGUACCCACUAACCGAUAGUGAAGUUGCCGCCAUGUUGGUUGCGUCAAGGUCGUUUCUUUCUCGCCAGGCUGUUUGUCAAAGGAGACACAGUACAGUUUACAGUCAGUCGUACCUUUAAGAGGAGAAGCAAAAACCAUUACUCUUGUCAGUGAUUGGGACAUACUGGAAGAUGAUAUUUCUGGUUCUGAUCUUCUGAUUUCAGUUUUUCUUUUCCUAUAUAACAUGCAUGGAAUUUCUUCACUUGUAAGUUUGAGCUCAUGUGGAAACUGUUCAUUUAUAUGGAGGUGACCUUUGACUGUAAGUGGUCAUCGUCAUGUAUGUGUGGAUGAGGAUCUAUUUGCUACUGCUGUUUGGAUUAGUUGAUCUUGAAUAGUCAGUGUCAACUAGGACAUGAGUUGGGGGAUCUAUGACCACAGGAUUAUCUCUAGCCUUGGUUUGAUUUGAAGCCAGUUUUUAUGUGAAUAAAGCAGUGGUCUAGGAACAUCUUUUUGCCAGAGGGAACAAUUUUCAACGAAGUGAAGUUACCAGAAAAAAACUUACUAUUAAGGAUAUUGUUAUUGAAAUUUGUUAAAU